rnacentral:rRNA from 1 species
CGGGACGAGUGAGUAACGCGUGGGUAACCUGCCUUGUACUGGGGGACAACAGUUAGAAAUGACUGCUAAUACCGCAUAAGCGCACAGUAUCGCAUGAUACAGUGUGAAAAACUCCGGUGGUACAAGAUGGACCCGCGUCUGAUUAGCUAGUUGGUAAGGUAACGGCUUACCAAGGCGACGAUCAGUAGCCGACCUGAGAGGGUGACCGGCCACAUUGGGACUGAGACACGGCCCAA